AUGCCAUGGUGAGGAUAUUUCUACAGUAGCUCCUUGAAUCGCUCCCAUGCAUUAUAGAGAGAUUCUUCGUCAAAUUGCUAAAAUGAGGCAAUUUCACUUCUAAGCUU
rnacentral:snoRNA from 1 species